UAAUCUCAAUAAAGAGAAUCGUUGUCCC
rnacentral:piRNA from 1 species